GACCCCGCAGCGCCGCGCUCUCUGUCGCUCGCCCCCGCGUGCGUCCGCUCUGCGCUCUCGCACUUACUAGCUUUCUCGCCGGGUCGCUCACCCCGGCCCCGCCCCGUCCCGUCCCGCCCCGCACUGCCCCGUCCGGGACGCUCCUCGCAGGCUCCGCGCGCUACCCGGUCGGUUGGCAGCCGGGCGCGGAGCGAGCGCUGAGCCAGCGCUGUGCGCCUGCGGCCGGGGCGCCCCGCGGAGCGCCGGCUCCCGGGCCGCCUUAGCCGCGCAGGUGGCUCCCGAAUCGGCUGCCUCUGCUACAGUUCAGAGUGACUUCAGGAGCUUCCCAGCUGAGAGCUUCAGGACGCCUUUCCUGUCCCCCUGGCCCAGUUGCCACAACAAACAACAGAGAAGACGGUGGUGAGUGAGCAGAGUUUACAUUAUGCUGUUGACCAUUCCUCCUCAGUCCACCCUGUGAAGGCUGCAGAGAGGAGAACUGUGUGUCUUUCUAGGUACCCGGAGGAGACUGGUGCCCCCAAGGUGAGAUGGCACUUGGCCAGCUGCCCAGGCAGGUAGGAGUGAAGGCAGCAUGCUUUAGCGUUGCCUGUUGAUCUUGGCUUAGCUGGUCAGAAUUCUAGAACUGGCAAAGGUGGUGGGAAUCAUCACUGAAACUAGCCAGGAAACAAGAGUAAGGGCCUGUGGGUUGCCCUGGCUGCUGCUACAGACUGUUCACACUGCACGCUGUGGUACUCCAUCCUUCCACGAUGGCUGAAAACUUCCUCCCUGCUGCUCCAGGAGGCUGCUCUGACUAACUGUGGUUUUGAUUUCUCUGACUCCAUGGUUCCUUGGCAAGCAGGCGUUGUUAGGGAUGGAACACAAGUAGAACUUUGUAUUACCUGGGCCCAUAACCAUAGCUAGUUCUGUGGGACUGAGCAGCUUCCAGAGCACUGCCUACAACCUGUCACCUGCACUCAGUUUGGUGAGAAAUCCCAUAAUAGGUGUAGAGUGAGCCUGUUUAACAAAGUGCCUUCUUUGGGCAGCUGUACAAUGGUAAAUAUUUUAAACGAUACUCUAGAAGUGUGGGUGGGAUCAUUUGGGAUUGCAUAUGAGUAAUUUGGGGUGUCGGGUGUUUCCAUAAAGCUUUCUGCAGCUUUAGCAGUGAGGAAGGUGGCUUCCUGCUGCUACCCUUGACCCCCUCCUUAGGGUCUACAGUAGUUCAGGGGUCCUCAGUUGGCAUCAGCCUGGGGUGAGGGUGGCUGUUGACUCUCAGCGCAAAAGAGGCUGGCAGGGCCAAAACCAAUACCAGUGAAGCAAAGAAAGUGAGAAGGUUGGUGGGUGGUGGAAGUAGGGAGGCAUGAAUUAAUAAAAGGAAGUGUGGCCUGUGAUUUCA
rnacentral:lncRNA from 13 species